AGAACGAACGCUGGCGGCAUGCCUAAUACAUGCAAGUCGAACGAACUCUUCGGAGUUAGUGGCGCACGGGUGCGUAACGCGUGGGAAUCUGCCCCUUGGUUCGGAAUAACAGUUGGAAACGACUGCUAAUACCGGAUGAUGACGAAAGCCCAAAGAUUUAUCGCCAAGGGAUGAGCCCGCGUAGGAUUAGCUAGUUGGUGAGGUAAAGGCUCACCAAGGCAACGAUCCUUAGCUGGUCUGAGAGGAUGAUCAGCCACACUGGGACUGAGACACGGCCCAGACUCCUACGGGAGGCAGCAGCAAGGAUUUCGCAAUGGGCGAAAGCCUGACGGAGCAACGCCGCGUGUGGGAUGACGCUUUCGGAGUGUAAACCACUGUUCGUGGGGACGAAGCACUGGACGUACCCACGGAGGAAGGCCCGGCUAACCUACGUGCCAGCAGCCGC
rnacentral:rRNA from 1 species